UUUCCGAAUUCAUCAUUUUUUAUAUUAAACAUCCAUUUGCAAUCUAUAAUAUUUUUGUUAUCUGGCCGUGGUACUAAAGUCCAUGUUUUAUUUAAAAAUAGAGAAUUUAAUUGCACCUUCCCAAUGAACUCUAUCGUCUCGUGUUUUAAUCUCUUGAAACGAAUUUGGUAUUUUACACAAAAUUGAACUAGCACACAUAAGGUUAUCAUCGAUUUCUUUAUAAGAAAUAGGGGGACGACUUUAAGCCUAUCACUCCUACGUGGUUCAAUACAACUGGUUGUGUCCUCAUUAUUUACGACCACUGAAAGAUCAUCAGAAUGUGCAUUUGGUUGUUCAAAUUCGACGAUGUCAUGGUUAGUUUUGCGAAUUUUCUGAGGAACUUCAUAAUCAUCAGAUUUACAGGUCGCAACGCAGGCCUGGAUUGAAGUAAUUUGUCUCAUCUACUAUGACAUCUCUGACAGUAAUAAAUUUUUCGCAUUUAGGAUUCCAAACUUUAUAACCGUUUGGUUCGUAUCCCACAAGAAUACCUUUCCAUGACUUAACAUCGAAUUUUGUCUUAUAUAACUUAUCAUGCACAUAAACUGUUGAACCAAAAAAAUUUAAAUAUUUUAUUUGUGGUUUUUUGUUAUGCCACAUUUACGAAUUCAAUCAUCAUGUGACGUAAUUGGUGAAUAAUAUUGUAAUUGAAAAGGAUAUUUCUCUUUAAAUGUACAAGCUGUGUGUGAUGCAGAAAUAAAAUAUAUUAAUGUUGUUCCCCAUGGCCUGGUGCCGCUCAUGAUGCAACAACUUUUGUAAACUCAGUUCUACAAGUUAAUUCAAAUUUAUUGAUAAGAAGGUAGAACUUGAUAAAUGUGCCAACUAAAUUAACAGGUAUAUUUGUUUAUAGCUUAAUAUCGUACAGGUCUACUGAGAAAUCACUGGAUGGUUGUUAAUAGUGCUUACUCAAAUAUACCUUAUUCAUUAACACCAUUUCUCUGACUGACCAGAGAUAUGAUGAAGUACACAUUAAGAAUAGGAAUACUAUAGAGAGGUAAAUAUAUAGUAUAAUUUAGAGUAUUAAUAAUUAUACUAUGUCAAAAAGUUGCAAGAUAUGUGACCCAAAUGAAACAUGAUGUAAGGUUAAAAUAUUUGUCUUUUCGGAAAAUUUGGAGUAUGGAAAUGUCGCUUUAACAUUGUAUUUAUUACUAGCUUAAGUUCAAGCUAUUGUUAUUGCCACAGCUGUUAUGCAAAAUAUUUGUAAGGAUUAUAAUUUGUAGAUAUACCGGCAGAAGUUUUAGUUCCAACACUUGAUACAGUUUCAAGUCAAGAAGUUAAUGAAGGAAAUCAAGACGUAACUGAAAGA